rnacentral:lncRNA from 1 species
UGGGGUCGUCGGUCGUGGACGGGUCGAGUCAGCGGGCUCCUUCAAAAUUUUUCGAGAUACUUUCGACGUAUGAGGGCCUCGAUUUCAUCAUUGAGUUGAAUGCACUGUUCGAUGUUAUGGCCGUGGCCCCGAUGAAAUCAGCAGUAUUUUCAUCGGUCGAAGCCCUUUGCCUUCAAAGGCGGAGGCCGUCGUAGAUAUUCCUCUCCUUCGAUCUCCAUUAAAAUCUGCGCACGAGGAGCAGAGAGAGGAGUAUAGGAGUCAUACCUGUGAUGCAUCGGCCUCGGACUCUGCCGUUGGAGUGAUCUCGGGCUCUAUGUUGGGGUGAGACUUGUUUGUCGGUCGGGGGCCCGCUAGGCUCGGCAGGAGCCCGACCUUUCCUUCAUUUCUCCUUUGGGCCCUUGGCCUCGGUCAGACGUCGGUCGGAAGCUCCUUCGUCUGCACGUAUGUAUUUGUAUGCGUGCUCCAGUAGUUCGGUAUAUGUUCGGGGGAGGAUCUUGUCCAAGGAGUUUGU